CUGUUCGGUUCCUGAACCAUAUAGUCCAAAUACACGAACGGAGACUUUUAUAUCACAUUUUACAAUGUCCAUAGUCUGUGGGCAGGAGGGUGACAAGCAGGCUCCUCCAGGAAAUUGUGGCAAACUCACGAGUAGAGGGAAGUUUGUUACAGUAACCAGACAAGAUUGACGCACAUGAACAGAGGGGUUGAUGGCCCUGCUCAAUGAGCUUACAUGCUAGAUGGAGUUGGGUAAAGUGACACAAAAGGGAAGGAUAGUAUUGUGGAAGCAGACUGGUAGAAU